UCGAUCUUUCUCCACCGUGUCAUCUUUUUUAUGUAUCGUUUAUUAAGUAAUUAAUCGAUCUUACGAAUAGUAAGAAACAUAGUUAAUACUUCCGAAUGUAUAAUUCGAAUUCAGAAGUUUAUUAUUUGAAUUAUACGAUUCGUUAGUCUUGUCACUCCUUUGUAAAUUUGUCAAGCCUUCUCUUCUUGGCAACUGAGAAAGAGAUGCAUGUUCUAAUUUUUAGAUUACGACGUUUAUCUUAUUCGCGUAACAGAUACUUCUUUCGCGUGUCUAUGCACCUUGUAAAACAUAACUGUACUUUCAUAUCGUGAAUUAUGAAUUUAGGAUACGGAAAAUGAAGACAGAUGCGUAUCUAUGGAAUUUCAUUACAUCGAAUAAGUAGCCCAACCCAUAAAUAAAUCAGGCAAACGGGGAGAAUGACUAACGCAAGAUUACGCGACCCAUCGACCACUUUCGGCCCACGCUAUUUUAUCACAUUUUUAAUUCGAUCUUCGUACAUAUAAGGUUGUGAUACGAUAAACAUAAAUUUUUAGUUUUUGUAUAAAUUCAUCGUGUUAUCAACAAAUCUUGUACGAUUAAAAUAUACAAAAAUUUGUUUACCUUUUCUGACGAUCACGAUAUUUGCAAGACGACAUGAAUUAAUAUUUUAAUCGCUCGUUGCAAUCAUUAUGUAAUUAUAAUUAAUUUGUCUACUCUUUGUUUUAUCUUUUUAUAAAUAAAUAAUAUAUUAAUUUAUCAUAAUAUCAUUAUAUAUACCAACAUAUAGUAUUUAUUCUUAUAAUGUAUAACAAUAUUUACACAAAUGUACAAGUUACACACAUUUUUAAGAAAUGUAUGCACAAAUCACACAAUACCAGAUGAAGAAUUAAAUUGAUAUCCCACAUUAGAGAGCUAGAGCUUACUUAAUUUUGCCUAAACAUAUUACAUUUUUAAACACAAAUUUUGAAAGUUAAAGUUUACUGCAUAUGUAAUUUUCUUACUAUUGCAUAUCUGCAGUAGUAUGUUUUAUUUCUCAGUUCUAACAUUAAACGUCAUGAAUAUUAAUCAAAGGUGACUAAUUCUAAUGUACGUACACUCCCUGUAUAGAAUUAUAAUGUACUGGAAAAAAUAGUCUUAUCAAUGUCUUACUAUCUUCAUUUGGACGACAGUUACAAAUAUCUUUUUCUUGCAAAAUUGUUAUAAAAGUUUAAAUAAAAAAUUAUGAAUAUACAUUUUUUACAAG